AGCCACAGUCAUAUCACCCUGCAGCCCAAGACUGGUUGCCCACUGAAGCUAAGCAGGGUUGAGCCUGGUCAGUACCUGGAUGGGAGACCUCCUGGGAAAACUAGGUUGCUGUUGGAA
rnacentral:rRNA from 1 species